rnacentral:lncRNA from 1 species
CAUUGCUCCAUCAAAUUGAGCCAAUUAACAAUCAUAUUGUUAAUUAAUUAUUCUUCUAAUUUACUAACCAUCAGUAAAUUAUUUAUUACAACCUUUAUAUAGGAUUAAUCAUCAAUCAAAUUGAUAAUUAAAUUCUUCAAUGAUUCAUAAUCAUCGAUCAACCAUUUGAUCAGACAAGUACUUCUAUGUGUAUGAUCCCAUAGGUUCAAACC